rnacentral:tRNA from 1 species
UCCCGGGUGGCUCAGAGAGUAAAGAGUCUGCCUGCAGUGCAGAAUACCCAGGUUCAAUCCCUGGGCUGGGAA